CCUACGGGGCGCAGCAGUGGGGAAUAUUGCACAAUGGGGGAAACCCUGAUGCAGCGACGCCGCGUGGGCGAGGAAGUACCUCGGUAUGUAAAGCCCUAUCAGCAGGGAAGAAACAGGACAGUACCUGACUAAGAAGCCCCGGCUAACUACGUGCCAGCAGCCGCGGUAAUACGUAGGGGGCAAGCGUUAUCCGGAUUCACUGGGCGUAAAGGGAGCGCAGGCGGCAUGGCAAGUCUGAUGUGAAAACCCGGGGCCCAACCCCGGGAGUGCAUUGGAAACUGCUGUUCUUGAGUGAAGUAGAGGUA
rnacentral:rRNA from 1 species